CAGAUAAAGUCUUUAUUAUUAAAAUACAAGGCUGAGAUAUGCAUAAGAUACACAUUUUCACUUCAAAUUGAAGAAAUCAGAAAAGAAAAAAGGGUUAAUGAUCCCAAGGAAGACCAGAAAACUGAAAGUGGCCCAGUCACGUCCGACUCUGCAACCCUAUGAACUAUAGCCCAACAGGUUCCUCUCUCCAUUGAAUUUUCCAGGCAAGAAGACUGGAGUGGGUUACCAUUUCCUUUUCCAGGGGAUCUCCCUAACCCAGGGUUGGAACUAAAGUCCCCUGCCUUGCAGGCAGAUUCUUUACCUUCUGACCCAACAGGAAAGACCCAGAACUAUCACAGAAAUUUUCAUUCGAUUUUAAGGUUCUGGAAUAACUCUUUGGAUCAGUGCUCUGUCCUCUCAGCCCACUGGGGUGGCAGUCGUGUCUUUUAUCCCACAAGGGUGGUGUACCCCCUCACCCCUAUGGCCUUAAGUGGGAAAUAAAAUAUGUAAUUAAAUUACUGUAAACCAAAAAUAUUUUCUCAGAGAGUUUAAAGUUUGUAUCAAUAUAAAUUUCUCAUUGCUGCUGCUGCUAAGUUGCAUUAGUCGUGUCCAACUCUGUUUGACGCCAUAGAUGGCAGCCCACCAGGCUCCCCCGUCUCUGGUCUCUGGGAUUCUCCAGGCAAGAAUACUGGAGUGGGUUGCCAUUGCCGUCUCCCAAAUUUCUCAUUAAGGUACAUUAAUGCAGGUACUUUUUGAUGCACACACUAUUGUUAUCACCAUAAAUUGAAAUUUAUAAUGAAACUGUACUUUGUUUCCCCUUCUGUUUGCUUAUACAAGACCAAUGGGCUACAAAAAUUUUGCUUUGUUUGGGAAUAUAGGCUAAUUUAUACUCUUUAGAUCAUUAAAAACAAAAAAAAAACACCAACUGCUGAACACAGAAUCCAACAGGAUAUAGCAAAUAACACCAUUAUUCUUACUGUGUUUUAGAUAUAAAAACCUUAAUUAAAUCCUAGAUGAGUUGAUCUAUAAUUGUAGUUAUAGUUGCCAAUUAUAGAUCAAUUACUUACUAUGUGCAGGCAUUUUGCAGAUACACCAUUUGUUGUUGUUUAGUUGCUAAGUCAUGUCUUACUCUUUUGUGACCUUGUGGACUGUGGCCUGCUAGUCUCCUCUGUCCAUGGGAUAUCCCAGCAAAAAGGCAAGAAUACUGGAGUGGGUUGCCAUUUUCUUCUCCGAAGAUACACCAUAUAUAACACACAUAUACAUAUUUAUGUAUAUUAUUGAGUGCAAGUUGGUAUGUCUGACCUUCUAUCAAUGAAAAUGUGUGCCUAUAUUACAAAAUGCUUAAAACUGUGUGAAAUAAUAAAAUGUAUUGAAAUUGUCUACAGAAUCAUUAUCAAUUAUUUUUGGUAGUAUUCAAAGGAUGUAUAUGGAC
ensembl:lncRNA